UCUCUAUUUUCUUCACUGACUACUCAUCAUGCCAAAUGCUGGCAUUUGGCGCCCGAACAGGGACACAAGGAGGAAGGAGUGACUCAGUGCCUUACACCACGGAUCUCCACUGAAUCACGAAGGGAGAUCCCGAUCUGACCUCACCCAGAACCUUAACCUUAGAAGCUCAGAGGGAACUUAAGACUGUGGAAGAAACAAUUAGCAGUGCCACUUUAGAUCGAAUACAUGAACAAGAAGACAUCCAGGCUGAAACGUUUGAAAAACUAGUGUGGAUUCUUGAAAAGAAUGUCAGAGCAUGUUCCUCAAUUGCCCGAGAGGCUGAGCAGAAUGAGAUUCCAGAGGAAAAGGAAGAAACCCAGCAGAGCCACUCGAACUGAGAAGAUUCCAACGUGAGGGCAGAUAAAAGCACUCACAUCUCAGGCGAUGACGGUGGUAGAAAACACUAAACAAUUAAUGACACCUGAGAAUGUCUUUCUUGCCAUGUUGGCCUUUUUUUAUCGGUGUAAGUUCCCCCGUGCGAGAGAGAACAAUAUUGGGCAUACCUUCCCUAUCGGCCAUGGACAAGGCCUGUAACAUGGGAAGAUAGAGUGGGAGAAAUAUAUACCAAUAAUUCCAGCUUCAUGGGGAUAUAAUUAUUCUUUUCUGUCUGAUAAUAUAACUGCAGUAAUAAAUGUUAGCAUGCUAGCCACCCGUACUCCAAUAUGCUUUUAUAGAAAUGGCAAUAGCAAUUGUACCGGACCGUGUCUACAACUCAAAACAGAGAAAACUUGGGUUCGUGAUAAAGAAUUGGGAAAUAUCAUAGAAGGAAACAGUGCAUAUGUUUAUGUGGAAAAACUUACACCAAAAGGGGUUCCCACAAGGAACUUCACCCAGUAUCCCCGAAUACCUCUCUGUGCCUUUGCGAGUCAUGUUUGGCCCGGCUCUAGCAAUAAGUCAUUAAUACCUGAAAAACCUAUCUUCCCCUUAUGGGAAUUAUGUCACCUCUCUUACCCUGAAGAGAUACAAUUAAAUAGUCACACAGAGCCAACAAAAUUGUGGAAUUGGGGUGGACAUGACAAUUCGACUCAUCAGGCACCCUUGAAGGGUUACACGGGAAGUCUUCCUGAAGAGGUAUUACAAUCUCCCACUUUAGUAGAAUUUCGAGGACUAUGGAGGGCCUUUUCGACCUUAGAUAGAAUUGAUCAUACUUUGAAGCCCACGACCCACUAAACAUAGGCCCAGUAAAGAGCAAUUUGUCCUUCAUCACUGCAUGUGUAAGAACUCCUCAGGCGUUUAUAGUGGGUAAUAUAUCC